UCCCAACAUUACACCCUAAACACCUUCACGCUAACCUCUACAUUCUCUCUCUCAAACUCACUCUCAAAAAUCUUCAUCUCUCCAUCUCCUCUCCCUCGAAACCUUCCAAAAUGUCACAACCUUUUGUCCCCACUCCAAGCAAAUCCUUCAAAGAGAAAUCAAACCCUAAAAAUAUUGGCACUAAGAUAGAUCUCUCUGAUGUCAUUACUGACAUAGUUCCCCUCUCUAUCAUUUAUGUCCAUGCAACUCCCAUGAGAAAGGUUAGAACUUUAUCAUCAAGAAAAGGCAGGCCUACUAAAGUAAGUACCUCUUCCACUCCCUCCAUAACUGCUAGAAAUAUGAAUGAUCUUG
rnacentral:lncRNA from 1 species